rnacentral:misc_RNA from 1 species
GAUGAAGAACGUAGCGAAACGCGAUAAGUAAUGUGAAUUGCAGAAUCCAGUCAAUCAUCGAAUCUUUGAACGCACAUUGCGCCCGCCAGCAUUCUGGCGGGCAUGCCUGUUCGAGCGUCAUUUCAACCCUCGACCUCCCCUUGGGGAGGUCGGCGUUGGGGACCGGCAGCACACCGCCGGCCCUGAAAUGGAGUGGCGGCCCGUCCGCGGCGACCUCUGCGCAGUAAUACAGCUCGCACCGGGACCCCGACGCGGCCACGCCGUAAAACACCCAACUUCUGAACGUUGACCUCGAAUCAGGUAGGACUACCCGCUGAACUUAAGCAUAUCAAUAAGCGGAGGA